GACAGCAGUCGCCGCGGUAAUACGAAGGGUGCAAGCGUUACUCGGAAUUACUGGGCGUAAAGCGUGCGUAGGUGGUGGUUUAAGUCCGUUGUGAAAGCCCUGGGCUCAACCUGGGAAUUGCAGUGGAUACUGGGUCACUAGAGUGUGGUAGAGGAUAGUGGAAUUUCCGGUGUAGCAGUGAAAUGCGUAGAGAUCGGAAGGAACAUCUGUGGCGAAGGCGACUAUCUGGGCCAACACUGACACUGAGGCACGAAAGCGUGGGGAGCAAACAGGAUUAGAUACCCCAGUAGUCCCUGUCUCUUAUAC
rnacentral:rRNA from 1 species